GCCGCUUUAGCUCAGCUGGUAGAGCACGUCAUUCGUAAUGACGGGGCCACAGGUUCAAGUCCUGUAAGCGGCACCA
rnacentral:tRNA from 1 species